GAUGAACGCUGGCGGCGUGCCUAAUACAUGCAAGUCGAGCGAACAAGGUAGGUACUUGCUCCUUUGGCGUUAGCGGCGGACGGGUGAGUAACACGUGGAUAACCUACCUAUAAGACUGGGAUAACUUCGGGAAACCGAAGCUAAUACCGGAUAACAUCUUUAAACACAUGGUUCAACAGUGAAAGACGGACUUGCUUUCACUUAUGAAUAGAUCCGCGCCUCAUUAGCUAUUUGGUAGGGUAACGGCUUACCAAGCCAACGUUCAGUAGCCGACCUGAGAGGGUGACCGGCAACACUGGACUUGAGAACCGGUCCAGCUCCCUACGGGAGCCACAAGUAGGGAAUUUUCGGCAAUGGGGGAAAGCCUGACGGAGAACCGCACGGUGAGUGAAGAAGGUCUUCGGACCUUAAACCCCUGUUAUAAGGGAAGAACAAGUGUGUAAGUGACUACUCACGUCUUGACGGUAACUACUCAGAAAGCCACGGCUAACUACGUG
rnacentral:rRNA from 1 species